rnacentral:rRNA from 1 species
AUUGAACGCUGGCGGCAGGCUUAACACAUGCAAGUCGAGCGGAGAUGAGGUGCUUGCACCUUAUCUUAGCGGCGGACGGGUGAGUAAUGCUUAGGAAUCUGCCUAUUAGUGGGGGACAACAUUCCGAAAGGAAUGCUAAUACCGCAUACGCCCUACGGGGGAAAGCAGGGGAUCUUCGGACCUUGCGCUAAUAGAUGAGCCUAAGUCGGAUUAGCUAGUUGGUGGGGUAAAGGCCUACCAAGGCGACGAGCUGUAGCGGGUCUGAGAGGAUGAUCCGCCACACUGGGACUGAGACAAGGCCCAGAAUCCUACGGGAGGCAGCAGUGGGGAAUAUUGGACAAGGGGCGGAAGCCUGAUCCAGCCAUGCCGCGUGUGUGAAGAAGGCCUUUUGGUUGUAAAGCACUUUAAGCGAGGAGGAGGCUACCUGGAUUAAUACUCUAGGAUAGUGGACGUUACUCGCAGAAUAAGCACCGGCUAACUCUGUGCCAGCCGCCGCGGUAAGAC